AGCUUCAAAUCACUUCGAUGCCUUGCAGAAACGGCUAAUUUUUUGGUGCAUGCUUGUAUUUCCUUUCCAUGGGAAGUUUUCAGCCUUCUGAUAUUUGCAGGUAGUUUAGUUGAGUGUAGUGGUUUCUUCCGUAUCUGCCACUUCACAGUUGUAGCCAAUUUUGAAUUUUCUCCUGAUGAAGUUACAGAUGUUUUGGACAUGUGAGUCCUCGCCUUUGUUUUACAGUUGAGUUCCGCACCAUCUUUGUUAGCGUCAGAAGAACCUGUUGGAACACUCACAUGACGUGGCAAGACCUUGGAGUCACCCAUUUCAAUACCUAAAUUGCCAGUUGAGUUCCUUCUCAAAUAACUGAGUUCAUGCUCAAUUUUCUCCAAGUUUGCAGGUUUUCCGACAACCUUCUUGUUGCCCAACUUAGAAGACCCAGUGUUCUUGUCCAUCCUGCUUCCUUUGUUUGGUGUGCCGGUUGCACCAUCCAACGGAGAAUUCUGAGCAAUUGAUGAUCCCCCUGGUAUGAUAGUGUCGCUGUAUCCUCUUAUCCUCAGCUUAUAGAUUCCGGACAUAGAAUUAGCAUUUUCCUGCAACGACUUCAUCUUCAAACCGUUCCGUUGUUUUACAGAAACAGCUAAUCUUUUGGCGUAUGCUGGGAUCUCCUGUCUCUGGGAUUUACCAGUUGUACGCCUCUUGAAAUUCACAGGUAGCUUACUCGAGCGUAGUGGUUUCUUCCUUAUCUGCACCUGUACAGUUGUAGUCAAUUCUGGUAUUUUUUCUGAUGCUACUACUGUUCUACUCAGCAGGGAAGUCCUUGCUAUUGUUGUUUGAUCAUCACGUUCAGCACCUUUGCAAGCGUCAUGGCAAGAACCUUUUGGAUCGCUCAGGUAACGUGACAAGACCUUGGAUUUAGCAAUUUGAAAGCCAAAGCUGCCAGUUGAGUUCCUUCUCAAAAAGCGAGCAUCACGCUCAAUUCUCUCCAGAUGUGCAGGUAUGCCAACAACCAUCUCAGCCAUUUUGAGUUUGAGCAAUGAAACUAGUACCACUGCAGAACUUAUCAGAAGCAGAGACCCUUUGAAACCUCGACCUCACAAAUGCAGCAUCCUAGUGUGGAAAAAAUAACAAGGACCUGUGAGAGAAUUGAUACUGAUAAAAAAAGCAA
rnacentral:lncRNA from 1 species